GAUGAACGCUGGCGGCGUGCCUAACACAUGCAAGUCGAACGGAGAUUUGACGCUGCAGAGACUUCGGUCAAAGCUUGUUAAAUCUUAGUGGCGGACGGGUGAGUAACGCGUGGGCAACCUGCCUCGUACUGGGGGAUAACAGUUGGAAACGACUGUUAAUACCGCAUAAGCGCACGGUAUCGCAUGAUACAGUGUGAAAAACUCCGGUGGUACGAGAUGGGCCCGCGUCAGAUUAGCCAGUUGGCGGGGUAACGGCCCACCAAAGCGACGAUCUGUAGCCGGACUGAGAGGUCGGACGGCCACAUUGGGACUGAGACACGGCCCAAACUCCUACGGGAGGCAGCAGUGGGGGAUAUUGCACAAUGGGCGAAAGCCUGAUGCAGCGACGCCGCGUGAGUGAAGAAGUAUUUCGGUAUGUAAAGCUCUAUCAGCAGGGAAGAAAGGCUCGUAAGAGAGAUGAC
rnacentral:rRNA from 1 species